rnacentral:tRNA from 1 species
GCGGCAGCCUGGUACGUGUGUUGGCGGACUGGAGCUUUGACAGCGCACCGGUGCUGCUGCUGGUGCCGUCGCGC